rnacentral:rRNA from 2 species
CUGAACUUAAGCAUAUC